UUCUAUGAUGAAACACCAUGACCAAGGCAA
rnacentral:piRNA from 1 species